GAUGAACGCUGGCGGCGUGCCUAAUACAUGCAAGUCGAGCGAACGGACGAGAAGCUUGCUUCUCUGAUGUUAGCGGCGGACGGGUGAGUAACACGUGGAUAACCUACCUAUAAGACUGAGAUAACUUCGGGAAACCGGAGCUAAUACCGGAUAAUAUUUUGAACCGCAUGGUUCAAAAGUGAAAGACGGUCUUGCUGUCACUUAUAGAUGGAUCCGCGCUGCAUUAGCUAGUUGGUAAGGUAACGGCUUACCAAGGCAACGAUGCAUAGCCGACCUGAGAGGGUGAUCGGCCACACUGGAACUGAGACACGGUCCAGACUCCUACGGGAGGCAGCAGUAGGGAAUCUUCCGCAAUGGGCGAAAGCCUGACGGAGCAACGCCGCGUGAGUGAUGAAGGUCUUCGGAUCGUAAAACUCUGUUAUUAGGGAAGAACAUAUGUGUAAGUAACUGUGCACAUCUUGACGGUACCUAAUCAGAAAGCCACGGCUAACUACGU
rnacentral:rRNA from 1 species